AUUGAACGCUGGCGGCAGGCCUAACACAUGCAAGUCGAACGAGUGGCGGACGGGUGAGUAAUGUCUGGGAAACUGCCUGAUGGAGGGGGAUAACUACUGGAAACGGUAGCUAAUACCGCAUACCAUCGGAUGUGCCCAGAUGGGAUUAGCUAGUAGGUGGGGUAAAGGCUCACCAAGGCGACGAUCCCUAGCUGGUCUGAGAGGAUGACCGGCCACACUGGAACUGAGACACGGUCCAGACUCCUACGGGAGGCAGCAGUGGGGAAUAUUGCGCAAUGGGCGCAAGCCUUAUGCAGCCAUGCCGCGUGUAUGAAGAAGGCCUUCGGGUUGUAAAGUUCUUUCGGCGGGGAGGCGUUAUCCGCAGAGAAAGCACCGGCUAACUCCGUGCCAGCAGCCGCGGUAAUAC
rnacentral:rRNA from 1 species